GACGAACGCUGGCGGCGUGCUUAACACAUGCAAGUCGAACGGUAAGGCCCUUCGGGGUACACGAGUGGCGAACGGGUGAGUAACACGUGGGUGAUCUGCCCUGAACUUCGGGAUAAGCCUGGGAAACUGGGUCUAAUACCGGAUAGGACCACUGCCUGCAUGGGUGGUGGUGGAAAGCUUUUGCGGUGUGGGAUGGGCCCGCGGCCUAUCAGGUUGUUGGUGGGGGGACGGCCUACCAAGGCGGAGACGGGUAGCCGGCCUGAGAGGGUGACCGGCCACACUGGGACUGAGAUACGGCCCAGACUCCUACGGGAGGCAGCAGUGGGGAAUAUUGCACAAUGGGCGCAAGCCUGAUGCAGCGACGCCGCGUGAGGGAUGACGGCCUUCGGGUUGUAAACCUCUUUCAGCACCGACGAAGCGCAAGUGACGGUAGGUGCAGAAGAAGGACCGGCCAACUACGUGCCAGCCGCCGCCGUAA
rnacentral:rRNA from 1 species